UACGGAGGGUGCAAGCGUUAUCCGGAUUUAUUGGGUUUAAAGGGUGCGUAGGUGGUCUAUUAAGUCAGUGCUGAAAUAUCCCGGCUUAACCGGGAGGGUGGCAUUGAUACUGAUGGACUUGAGUGGAGUUGAGGUAGGCGGAAUUGACGGUGUAGCGGUGAAAUGCUUAGAUAUCGUCAAGAACACCAAUAGCGAAGGCAGCUUACUAAGCUCUAACUGACACUGAUGCACGAAAGUGUGGGGAUCAAACAGG
rnacentral:rRNA from 1 species